UGGCAACGAGAGGCUAAGCUACCAUGUCUGCUAUUACAGUCUCUGAGGCUACCUUGGUGACUUUGAUGACUGUGAUGACUGCUGGAUGAAGUAUCCAAUUCAGAGAAAAGCACACGGAUGAUCUGGACAACCCAUCAGGUGCAUGAUCACUGAAUUGCCAAGAUUUCACCGAAAGACUAGCUUGAAAUAUAAUUUUACAACUUUUUAUCUGCUUAAAGAACAUCAAGUUGCUCUGGAUGUCACCUACGGUGUCAAUUUUUGGCAUACUAUUAUUAUUGAUUAAGUCUUUCUGAUAAUAAAACCAAAGAUUUCUCAAAAGUGCCAUAGGCACUGUACCUGAAGCUCAACAGCCUGAAGAAACCUGUGAGGAGGAGACAGUGAGAAGCAGUUACAGUUGUAGACUUGU